rnacentral:rRNA from 1 species
AUUGAACGCUGGCGGCAGGCCUAACACAUGCAAGUAGGACGCAGUUGCGAACGGGUGAGUAACGCGUAGGUAACUACCUAUUAGUGGGGGAUAACUAUUGGAACCGAUAGCUAAUACCGCAUACCAGUAGAUGGACCUGCGUUGUAUUAGCUAGUAGGUAGGGUAAUGGCCUACCUAGGCAACGAUACAUAGCCGAGUUGGAAGGGUGUAAGGGCAGACAGGGACUGGGAAACGGGCCAGACUCCUAAGGGAAGCAGCAGUAGGGAAACUUCGGAAAUGGGGGGAAAGCUGAACGGGCAAAUCCGCAGGGUGAAAGAAAGUUGUCGGAUCAUAAAGAUCUGUUGAUAAGGAAGCGGUACUUAACCAGAAAGGGACGGCUAACUACGUGCCAGCCGCCACGGUAAUUC